AACUAAUGAACUUGUUAAAGUGUAUAUUUUGAAAAUAUAAAAAAGAGAUAAUUCACCUCUAUUAGUUU
rnacentral:tRNA from 1 species